UCCCUAAUAGCUCAGUCGGUAAAGAAUCUGCCUGCAGUGCAGGAGACCCGGGUUCGAUUUCUAGGUUGGGAAA
rnacentral:tRNA from 1 species